rnacentral:rRNA from 1 species
UACGUAGGGUGCGAGCGUUAAUCGGAAUUACUGGGCGUAAAGCGUGCGCAGGCGGUUUUGUAAGCCAGAUGUGAAAUCCCCGGGCUUAACCUGGGAAUGGCAUUUGGGACUGCAAGGCUUGAGUGCGGCAGAGGAGACUGGAAUUCCUGGUGUAGCAGUGAAAUGCGUAGAUAUCAGGAGGAACACCGAUGGCGAAGGCAGGUCUCUGGGCUGUCACUGACGCUCAUGCACGAAAGCGUGGGGAGCAAACAGG